CUUGGCAUCAGUCAGCAGGUGGUGAGCAAUUGCAUUAUGCCUCAUAAGUUUUGUAUAUUCUUUUAUGAUGAUGAUGAUGACUAUUAUUGUUUUACCUUCCUUUUCUGUUCUAUUAAACUGUCUUUAUCUCUACCCAUGAAUGAGUUUUACCUUUUUCUGAUUGUUUUCCCUAUCCCUGUGGGGGAAAGUGAGUGAGUGGCUGUAUGGUGCUGAGCUGCCUGCCAGAUUAAACCACAACUACCACCGAGGCUGUUGGCAUUUUAAAAAAGCUUUAGAGCUAGGAAGGAAUAAAAGAGUCUCAAAUAAGAUACUGCACACUUAAUUUAUUUAUGAUUGCUGCCAUGCACCUUCCUAAAGAAUAAUGGGACCUAUUCAUUUGUCUGUGUGACUAAGUGAUAAAGUGUGUCUGUGAUCUGCUGGUACAGACUUGUGCUUGUUACAGCUGGCCAAGAAUAGAGUUUUUUUCUGUGUUAAACAAGAUCAUUGGUAUCCAGGAAGAUUUCACUGGAAGUUUUUCAGCACUGCAGGGAUGGAGAGGUCCCUUGGAAGCUCUUCCUGCUGCUAUGUAAGGGAAGCUGCAGAAAGAUCUUUGCCAUGUCCUUUUGUAACUCCCAUAAUCUGUAAACUUGUGUGGUCAAAGUAUAGCUAACAUGCUAGAGAGGGCUUGUGAUCUUGUGACUGGACUAGUUGCAGUUUCACAGAAGAAAACUAGCUUUAUCUCCCUAAUCCUUUUGCUGGCAGGCAGGACAUGAAAAAUGAAGUUGAGACACUGUACCUAUUUAUUGCUUAAUUUUUUUCCCAUAAAUUCUAACCUUGUGGUUAAAAAACCCCCAAACAUUCAGUAAUUCUCAGAUGUAAACAAGGAGAAAAAUAAUACUCCAGAAAGCAAGAGCUUGUAAGUAUCCAAACCCUAAAUAUGUUAACACAGCUGUAUAUCAUGUGACCCAUCUCAGUUCUGACACAAAAAUAUGUAAAAUGUUUGAAAAUGUCCAUAGUAUUGUGAUUUUUUUAUGAUCUCCAAGUGGAACAAGAAUAAUACAACGGUUAAAAAUCCAAAUGGAAUGAAUGAACAGUUGUGCUGAAAUUACAUAAACUACCCUUUUUCUUUGGUAAUAUUUAAAAACUUCUACUAAAGCCCUGCCAUCAUAAUUCUGUGCAAGGUAGAGGCCCUGAACAAGAAGCAUUAUAUCUUGGUAUAGUAAAUAACCUGAUUACUCUUGCUUAUAACUCUGAUAUCUUGUCUGUCUUUACCUGGUAUAUUCUGAGUGUAGCUCAGUGAGUGAAUCUGUGAAUCUGGUCAACGGCUGAAGUCUUGUAUUGGCAGGUGUAAGCUCUGGCCCUGGCUGUAGCUGAUUACCUGCACUAGGCAAAGCAGAGGUGAGAGUACCAGUUGCACUCAAACAAUUUAGGAAUCCAAAUUCAUCCUCAAGAAGCUGAUCAGUAAAUCUUGAAUGCAUAAAGUGAAGAGAAAGGUUCACUGAAAUUCACAAAAAUAUGACAGAAGAAGAAAAGUGAUUAAAAACAUAUAAGUGGAAUUUAUUCAGUCGUAAAUGUUAUCUGUGUGCCAGGUCUUCUUUCAAAGCUAUAGGAUUUUUUUUUUCCCACAUAGUUAUUGUUUAGUAAUAAAUCUGAAAAGCUUCUACAAAUAUCUACUUGGCUCAAAGCAAUAGAUGUUAUGAAGGCUUCAACUAUAAUGACAAGUGCAGGAUGUUGUCAGUUGAUCUUGGACAAAAAAGAAAUUGAAGUGUCUUCAGUAACACUUUAAAUACAAUUUUAAUUCUAAGCAAUUUGAAAAUUAGUGUAGUUGCACUUCGUAAUUUCAAGAAAAAAUAAUACCAUUUUCACCUUUUCUUUUUCUUUUCUUCAUUUUUUUCUUUCUCAUCUCCACUACUUGCUCUCUAGGUUAAUUUUAUAUAUUUUUUUAAUCUUAAAAUGCAUUUAGAAAUAUAUCUACACUGAUUAAAUUAGGAUGUAUAUAUUUGGGGCAGGGACUGCCUUGAGUCAUCCAGUUGCUCAGCACAUGUGAGUGACUGAUAUUACCUGACAGUGUAACAAAGUACUUCUAUGUCACAUUAGAAAUCAUUACUUCUGAUAAGUAGAUUUACAAUAUGUUUUCCUACUGCUCUUACUGUCAUUAUGGCACCUCUGUAGAUGUACAAUACUUGCAAAAUGAAAGGGCCUUUCCUUCACAAACCUUUAUGAAUUCAGACACUUGAAACUAUAUUUCGGCUUGUCCUGCAGCAACUUUAUGCAUCUAAGUGGCAGUGUGCAGAAAAAGGCAUGCAAUCUGGAAGUGAAGGGGAAUGGCCUGAAGGCUGCUGUGAGAUUUUCUCCAGGACUCUUCUGUUAGUCAGACAGGCGGUCUCCACAGCAGAGGUCCACUGAAGCUUCACACAUAGAAUCUUUUUUAAGAGUGCAUACUGCUGUGAGUAUAUUUGUGAUAGUAUCUAAUAACUUGCAUCUAGAUGUUAGGUAUUGCUGUUUGAAGAAGUUUUCUGUUGCAAAGAAGUACAUCAUGUACUGACUAGGACAGUGAGAGAAAAAUAUGCAAAAAAAUGUCAAAAUAUGUCAAAAAAAAAAAAGUCAUUUCUGGCAUUAAGCAAAUUAUUUGGCACAAUUCAAUCCUUAUUACCAGAAAAUUUCAUCUAAGAGUGCUGCUGGUGAUAGGAAGGAGGCAAAACUCAGCAGGGUGUGUUACUCUUCUACCUCCUCUCUUGAUGAUUAAGUUGUUAAUUUGCAGUGGUGGAGACUAAGGUUUAAUUAUGUCCUCUACUCCAAAGAUCUAGAUCCUGCUAUCCUGUCUCUCAGAACAGUCAAUGAGCAAUUAGUGGCAUGAAGACUACCACAAUGUGCUCUCAGUUGUUCCUCUUCACAAUUUUUCACUUCCAAGGAACAGUUUCAUACCUUCUCUGCUAUGUGACUUUACCAGGCUUUAAAGAUGUUCUUAGGCUUGAUGGUGGCCCCUUAAGCACUUAAACAUGCAAAGUGAAUCAGUUUGAGCUCCUCAAAACUCCCCAGUACCUAGACACUUAAGCAAAGUUGGGUCAGAGUUCAAGCUAGUGCUCUGUCUGAUGAGGAUAGGAGUCUGAAUGUGGAUCCCUAAUUCCUUAGGUGAAUGUCCUAGCAAUUAUUCUUCAGAUCACUACAAAAUGGAACAGGUCAAAUAAGCCACAUCAUGCAAAGUAUGUCAGAAAUAUUUGAAAGUCACUGAGAAUACAGUGAGAAUGAUUCUCUUAUCUUGUGUUAAUGGUAGUCACUUGGGAAGGUGGAGUAAACCCUAUUACAUUUUACAUGGCAUGGAAUAAACUUUCUCAGUAAAACAUAGGAACGAAUUGUAUAUUAUGUCAAGAACAAUCCUUUUGCAACCAUUAUUUACAAGUUCCCCUGAAUUUUCUUACCUUUUUUGUUUGAAUUUGCCAAAUGUUUACGUUUUCCAAAAAUGUUUCCUCUUGAGACACAUGGAACAUUUCACAUUGAAGGAAAUAUAGUGGUCUGGGUGGAGAUGGUAUUGAUUGUCAUGUGGAAACUUGGAAAAAUUGUGAAUUUGGUUCAGUUUGAACCAACAUUCUUUUUCAAACGUUUGGCUUGGCCAAACUGAAAAACUAGUUAUCUUCACAGCUCUAAACCCUCCUUUGCAGUUGGACCCUGAUUUUACAAAGAAAAUCAUAGUAUAGUCGCUGGAGCUGUUCAUCUAUGGCACAGUGGCAUGAAAUGGAAGCCCCACUAGAAUGUAGCGGUGUCUGAAGAUUUUAGAAAUGCUGGAGUUCUGAAGAGGGAUUAAAUGAUGGCAUUCACAGUAUGCGUACUACUGGUCUUUACAAAGGCACUACUGUUUUCAUGGAUUCCCUGUCAGUUACUUGCCAAAAAGAUACCUCUGAUGCACGUCUUUAUGGGAAAUAGGAAAAAGAGGAGAGUUCUUGACUUGUUUGCAUUGUUAGCUUGGAACGGAUACAUUCCUUUCUCUAACUUUUUUCAUUUCAUGAUGUAAUGAGAACAUUUUAAACCAGGACAAACAAACAGCAAGUGCCAAGCUUUUUCCUAAAAGCUCCUUAUGAUCAAACAUACCCAUCCAUGCUUUUGAAUACCUCAUAAUUAAACAUGCCUAAAUGGAGACUUAAUUUGAACAUGUAAAUUAAUCACAUGUUAUAACAAUUGAAAUUCAUAACCGAACAUCCAUUAGCAGACAACGCCGUUCCUCAUUCUUUUGUCUGCAUGUUUAUAGUAAUCAUGCAAUAGGAUUUAUGGUGCAUAUCACCCUUUGAAAAUUAAUUCUGAAUCAACAUAGGAGAUGUGUUCCCAUUUCUAUUGUAUAGCUUUGCUCUAAAAAUGCAAAUAAUUGCAAAUUAAGCCCCAGAUGUCUAAAGAGCAGCAGGAGUAACCAUUUAUUUGAUGUAUGAUGCACAACAUGUCAUUUCUGUGUCACUCCUCAAUGGGUUAAAUGAGUUUCAUCGUUUGGAUGUUUUAGGAAAAUAAUAAACAAUGUAGCUCAUUCAAAAAACAGCUGCGUUUUUUUUUCUUUUCUUUAAAAACAAAAACAAAAAAAGAAGAAGACAAAGUUAUUUAAAAUUUGUUUUCAGUUGCCUGCUAAGAAAAUAAGUUUACAUAAAAGAAACCUCAUUUCCUUAUGAAAAAUUGUGAAUUUACCUUCUGAAGCAAUUUAGUAAAAGCCAAAAUUUUUCUGUGCAUUUAGCAACUACUGAAUUGCUGUGGUGGGCUAUAUUAAGUAUAGAUGGAUGAGAAUUAGGUCAGUGGAGAAAACACAAGCUGCACCCUUCAGAGCUAAACCUGCACACACAUUACCUUAAAGAUGCUUACAUAAUGAAUGUCUGUGUUUGCUUGUGUAUUUCAGUGUAUGUUUAUGACAGACCAUGAAGCUAUCCCCAACAGGCAUUUGAGAAAGACAAAUCCCCAGCAUAUUUGCAUGUCCAUUAAACAACAAUAGCACUUCUAUCAAUAAGAAAUGAAUUUAUUUGCUUGACUCCCUUGGGCUCAGAUUUCACUGUAGGGCCCAGUCUUCAAGUGGAGUUUGGUCAGUAUAGGCUCUUCAUUAACUUUACUAGGUGUUAGAUCAGGCCUUGAUAUUCUUCUCCAUCCGCUAGUGUUUACUCAGGUGACAACACUGCAUUUAGUUUUCUCGCCUAUGCAGCAGGAGUUCUUUGCAACUGAAACCCUGUGCUGCCCUUAUGGUUUAAACUCAGCUUUGUGCUCAAUGUCCUGCUUCCUAAUGUGCUACACAGCUGUCCUGUGCUCUUGGCUUCAUGCCAUCUUCAUGUUACUCCUCCCAGUAGGUCAACCGUUUUCACUCUGCUGUUCUGUUAAUGCCUUUUAUAGAACCACCUUUUUAUAGUGCUACUUGCAGGAAAUGCUUUUCCUGCAAUGUGUCUGGAUCAUUUACAGCCUAAAAUGUUACCAUAUGCAGCUUAAGCCUAAAGGACCUUAUCUUGCCCUAGUCUGUAUAGUAGCAUCAUACAGUCAGACAACACAUUGACUUGCGAGGAAUUUUUUUUUUUUUUUUUUUUUUUUAAAGAAAGGGCUCUCAUCCUCUUCUACUUAAAUACCUAAAUCUGAUGAGAAACACUUGGAACACAUACAUGAGAACUUGGACUGUUCAGUUAUUAACCUGGAACCUAGAUAAUGAGGGAGAGCUAUACUGGGACAGAGUACUAAGUGUGAAGACAGGAAAGUGUAAAAAUGCAGCAAAAUGGCUUUGUGAUAAUUAGUGGAAAGGAGGUCACAGCCUGUCUUUCUGUCCAACACAAGCCUCUUAUUUAUUAUUGUGGCAUGACAGCAUAUGGCUCUGAGUUUUUAGUGGACUACUACCAUUUCUCAGUUGUUUUUGCUUUCUCUUUUCUCACAGUAAGAUGUGACUUAAAUUCCUAAACUCAAAACCCCCAAAAAUUCAACCCACAAGCCCCAGUGGUAUUUGAAGUUUAUGUAUUCUUUAACCAAAGGCCUUUGCAUAACCAGAUACUGGUACAUUCUUUAGUGAAAUUCUUGAAGCUUUGGGCUUAACCACUGCUUCUUUCAGUGAGGUGCUUGAAAACACGUCAACUAUGUAGCUGUACUGGAGGGCUGUGUGGAUGAGGUAUGUCCUUUUUCUCAAAUUGACUAAUGUCAAGGUCCAGACUGAGGCAGGUUCUUGGCUCCAGCUUGAACAGUCCCAUGGUGAUGUCAGAAUUUUGGUGUUUAUAUUUAAACAUUUUUUGUUAUUAUCAUUAUUACAGAGAAAAGCUGCAGAUUUGGCAUGCAUUAAUCUCUUAUAGAGGUAUCUGCUGGAGUAAGCAGAGAACUUUGUGAAUUUGUAUAAGUUAUUAAUUCUGAAGUCUUUACGUAGCCUGCAGCAGUGGACUUGGGUGUAGACAGGAGAAAUUCACCAAACUGGGCAAAGAGACUUGGUUUCUGAAAGAACAGAAAGAAACAAUACAGCAACAUCUUUGCUGGAAGGAGAGAUCUAAUAGUGCUUAAAUAGACUUGAGAGAGACAGAAACUCACAAAGGGCUUACAAGGCUGGAAUUAAACAAAACUAAGUGGGAUUCAAAAAUGUACUUAGAACAAAAAAAAAAAAAAAAUCCUGAAAAGGAAAAGACAGUCUCCCUUUCCAUGCAAAAUCAAAAAGGAACACUAUUAAAAUGUUCUUAAAGUAUUCAGUUUCUUUUAACAACACUUAGGAUACACUGGGCAGUCCAACAUGAUCCUGUGUGUAUUGGCAAAGCAUAGUAGCCUUUUGGAUACAAAAACUUCAUCUAAGUGUGUUUCAGAUCCAUGUGUGAUAAACUUCAUUUGUUAAAUACGGGAGGUUUAUCUACUCUUUAAAACACCAGUUGUGUUUCACUUAGUGAACCAAAAUAAUAUAAUGGCAUUAGGCUUCUUGGCUCUUAGCUGACUUCUCCAUUUUUCUCUAAAGUGUGGUGUUAAUGAGUAAUUUCAGUGUAAGGACCCUUUUGCUGAAAUAUUUUUCAAAAACUCUGAUUGCUUUUCUUCUAAAUUCUCUGUGUAAUCUUCAUUGCCUUUCAGUUUACUGUGGGAGACUGGUUGAGAGCACCUUGAAAUAAAAUCCAAGGCUGUGCCUUUUUUCCUCUAUAUUUUCGAUAGGAUUCUUGUUCAGAUAUCAUGAGUGGGAACAUGAUCAAGAAGCAUAGAGCCAGAGUCUAGAGCAAGUUAAUCUGACAGUGCUGUUCUGGGCACUGGUUUCCUUCGUGGCCUUAGGCAGAACACGUGACCUUUCCACCUCAGUGUUCUUUUCAUUAAUAUAGGGUGAUGAAAAUAAUUUAAUUCCUAUCAUCUGACACAACAUAUUUGCUACAGACAGAGGAAAUGGUAUGGAAAUAGCCUUUCUGAGGAUUGUUGAAAAUCAGAGCAUAUCCAUCACAUAUCAUUGAAUUAUUUCAAUUUUAUUUAUUUAUCUAUUUUUAAUGAAGGAACUCAGUUCUUAAUUGAAAAGGCUGAAACAUUUAAAGGUUGAAUUUGUCGUUUGGAGAGUAUUCUGAAUUUCAAGAAAACUACCCCCCCACUGUUUCAUUAUGAGAAAUAUUCUAAAGGCUUUCCAAAAGUUUUGUCUUUAUGCAGAACCACAGUCUGUUUAUUUCUUCAUGCCAAAGAUGAGGUUUGGCAGAGGAUUUAUCCCAUACCCUUGCCAACAGCUCUCCUAAGAGCACACUCAGUUAGUUUAUAUUACUACUUUUGAAAAAGGAAACAUUAAAGAAACUGUAUUUUUAAUACAGUAUAAAGGUCCUCUGAAGGCUGAAAAUGCCUCCCUCUGGCCCCACCUCCCUGCAAAGGGCUAGGGGAAGUGAGGGAAAAAGGAGUCCUACAGUCAAAAGAACUGCCUCUGUGUGAGGCCUGAGAGCUAGGACAGCUUCGCGCUAACCCUCAUUUUCCUGCAGGCUCUGGUUUUCAAAAAUUCUUUCUAAGUCUAGUUGCUCAAGUUGAGACAACCGUGUCUUCAUUUUCAGCAAGUCUGGCACUCUCAACACCUGCUGAUUAUACUGUGACUGUUUAAGGGAAGGAUUUAGAAUGCCUCCUGCCAGUCUCUCAUCCUACUGCAAGUGCACUUGGUAUAUAGAGAGGGGAGGACCCAGUGCCUUGAUCUGUCCAUCUGUCAACUCUGUGACCUUCUGAACACAACUGCAUCCCGUCUGCAGCAUCUCUGAAUGGUCGUGAAGUCUGUAGUUGUUAUGUCCACCUUCCAUUUUCUUGCUCUUAAAGUAGUAUAAGCUCUAGCUGGUGUCUGGAACACUGGCCUUAUCUCACAUACACUGAGUGACAUGACAGCUACAUUGGCUAACUUUUGACUUAAUAUGACAUUGUUCUUCCUGCAUACUGGGGAUAGUGAGACUUGAAGCAUCUUCCUAAAUAUUCAGUGGAAAUAACUGCUGUUGACUACACUGUUUCAUUUCAGCACAGAGGGUCUUUUUAACACUUCUAAAUCUUCAAUUCUGAGAUAAUAUAUCGUCAAAACAUAGAAGGCCACAGAAAUGCCUGAUUCUGUAGCUAUGUUAUGCACAGUGAGAGAGCAUUUCAGGUGAUUGUAAAAAGACUUGUGUAUUGUAAAUGUGGGGAAAAAAUGUAUAUACACAUCCAUCCAUCUGAACUCAGAUGGUAUUUUUAGAAACCAAAUAUAAAUGUCAUAGCCCCCUUCCAGCUGAAUAUUUAUCUUCUCCAGAAGUUAUCAUGUAAGUCCAUUUGUUAUCUGUAGUCAUGGGUCAAUUGUGCAUGUGCUAGGGCUGGUCAGCUAUCAAAGAGAAAGCUAAAGCAUGGAAAGUGCUAAUUUUCAUCUGAGUUCCCAAAACUAAAAUGGUAGCAUUUGAUUUUCAAAAUUUUCUUUUCUUUAUUAAACUGCCACAUCCAGAAUUUCCUGUUCAACCACAAUACUUUUUCCUCCUAGGGACCAAAUCAAAGAAUUUCUUUUAGGUGGCUAAAAUGUUACCAAAAUGUUAGGGAUCUUCAUGCAAAAUCUGCAGAAUCUGGUACGUGCUAAUAUGUUGUAAUAAGAUUUGAGUAACCAGUGUUGCAUUGUUAAGAUCCUUCUUUUCUUCUGUAAGUGUAUCUGUCUUAGAGAUCUGUCAGAGUUGCACCAGUGUGGGCCAAGCUACAUGGUUGGGGCCCUUAAGGCUCUGCAGAGAGAGUUAUCAUUUGAGAUUCAAAGCAUUUCUAUGAUGAUAUGAAAAUAAAACUAUGCUACAAGUUCUUCAAGUAUUCCACAAGGGAGUUUUUUUAUAAUCUGCAAUUAUUUUUCAUACUGGUAGAAUAAACAUGGAAAGCUUCAGUAUGUAGAUCCUCCUGUAACUGGUCACUACUUUGCACUGAUACUCACAUGGCAAUCCUUGAAGAACUUGAUCCCUUUUUAUGCUGUAAAUAGAUAUUUUGUUUAGUUAACCUACUGAAAGAUCUGAAAGGGAAUCAAUAUGUUCUGUAAACUCAAGAGAAGGGAUUGUUUGAAUUUCUCGCUUCCUUCACAUUACAGAGCAAAAGUUUCAAUCUGUCACAUCUGCAUCAAGCCCAAAUCCUUUUAAGUUUCAUUGAAGUGUUACCUGCAAAUGUAAACUUGUAAGCACAAUCUCUUUUCCACUCUUUAUUUGGAAAACUGUGAUUCCCUGAGCUUGGAAUGAAUAAAGUCCCAUAUUGAAUAAGGUCUCAUUUCCUAUGAUAUUGGGCUGUCUACUUUUCUAACAAGGCUCAAGCUCCAAUUGGAGCUUUUCCAAUGGCUAGGAAAUUUCUAACUGUUCAGUACUGUGGAUUCCCUGAAAGCCUAGUAGCAUAUGUUUACACUGAAGCCUUUCCUUAUUAGAAGCAGUAUUAAGGUCAUUCUAUAUAUCAAUACAACUAUUUUCCUGCCUCCUGCUAGUAAUAUAAUUACGUUUGAGGUGUCUGCUUUUAUCAGAUAUGGUUGAAAUUUGUGAUUGUGUCAAAAGUUAUUGAAGAGGUAGUAGGCAUAUGAUGAGUCAUGCAGACAAAACUCAACUGUAAGAUUUGUUUCCCUGGGAUAUCUGGCACCUGUAUUGCCAGAGAUAUCUGAACCUUUGUGGAUUUUCAUUGUCCUAUUUCUACUGUUUCUUAGAGAAGGAGAGAUAGGAGAGUUUCACUGGAUGUAAAACAGCAUUCCCAUAGGAUAUCGGUUAUGACCAAUGGAAUAAAUUUCAUGCUGAUGUUCUGCCCAUUUCUGGGAUUGUUUUUCAUCGUGGUGGUCCUUGAAAAAUAUAUUUAUACAUACAACUGUCCUGCUGGACUGGAAAUAAGAGUAAAUUGUUUCAUUUUUGUCAUGUUUCCAAGGUCCUUUGUCAUGUCAACGGCCAAUAGGCAGGAUACAAGUGAGAUAUCAAGGCUCUUUUUACCUUCAUUUCUGUGUCUGUUUGCUGUAUUUAAAGAUGCUCCUUGAUUUUAUUACAAUAAUACUUUUCAUUUAUAAAUUUGGACCUCCUCUGAUGUGAGCCCCAAGCAUUUCCAUUUCUAAGUGCAAAAAAGUUAAUCCCUGUGUAAUUAAAAGUGGUGCCAGUUUCUAACCACACUGCCUUACCUACCCUAGUCCUUUGGAAAUGUUUUACGUGCAACAACUUUAUAUACUAAACAAGUUUGUUUAAUAAAAAUGUUGUUACGAUAACUAUAAACAACAUAUUUUUGACAUGACUAAUGUUUUCAUGAAGUUGCUUUCAUUUUCACAGGUCACUGCUUCCUUUUCCAGCCUCACAAACAGUUUUCUCAAUCAUCUGGGUGCCUCAGCGCUUGGAUCUGUGUCCUAUGAUUUGAUCUUCUUUUCAGAGUGUUCUCUCAUUUGUCUCUGUCCAUGUGUUGUUUUUCUGACACUUCUUUUUUUCUAGUGGCACUUUAUAACAAAUUUUCUCUAUGAUGAACUGUUAAAAGAAGUGAGAUAUCCAGAAAUAAAGUGGAAAAAAAAAAAAAAAAAAAAAAAGAAGCAACUGACCAAUAAUCUGCAUAGAAACAGGCAUAUAGUAGAGGAGCAAGAACGUUAACUGACUGAGUAUAGAAGACAGUGAUUAUAAUCCUGAAGUCAGAGAAUCUGAAUCCAAAGGAAGAGAGGAAUUCCCCAGGGAAGGGUCAGUACGCACAGAGUCUUGCUCUGGAUUACUGGUCGCUGCUACUUCACUUGGGGUGCGCCUUCAGAAUUCUCAUUUUCUUCAGUUCAAAGUGAAACACUGGGAAAAGUAUUGGAAUGAAUCUGAAAACAGUACAGCAUUCUCAUGUGGAGGCGAAAGUACCAUUCAGACAGACACUAGAAGAAAAUCUGUCUUGAGUCUGUUUUUCAAAACGAGACUGAAAUAUUCACUGGAAAAAUACCAGGGAUCUUCGACUUAAGUGGAGAACUAAGGGGUGAAGAGGAUGAGUGGCCUUUAAAAUGUCGUCUUGUGGUCAUCAAAGUGGCAAAAGGCAAUCUCGUAAACCUUCUAAUGUUGGAGGCUGAUGGCCAGGUCAAUGACCAUACAGAACAAUGGUGGCAACCUCAAACGUGGUUAGGAGGGUUAUUACUGAAAACUGAAUCUCGACAUGAGCCUAAGAAAUAAGUGCUAACUGACUCUAAAAACUAGAGGACAACUCUGUGAAUACCACCGCAAAUACCACUGGCAAGAGACACGUCUCCAAGCUGUCUUCAGACUCCAGAGUAAAUAAAUAAAAUAUUUCAGAGAGAAGAGGCCUGUAUACGUUGGCAGCAUUGCUUGACUUUGUGUGUAAAACCAAGCACGAUUUGAACUUCCACUAGGUAGACACCAACACAAGAAACUCAUUUAAACUGGUCAAAUUCUAACAAACAUUUUCUGUGAAGUUUUGGUGAGCUGGAGUUUGCCAGAAGUUUUUCCAGGAAUUAACAACCUCCAAAGACUGCAAACACUUUUUCUUCUGAACAUCUCUGCCCAGAAUCUUUCUCCAAAACUCAUAAAGCAAGAACUUGAGAAAACCUGCUUGAAAAGCAGUCUGCUUUGUAAAAAUAUAGUAGGAUCUCACUAGACUUUGAAGCAAGGGAGAACCAAAAUAAAGGCAGUGAAGACAUUACCCUCACUGUGUUUCCAAAUACUAUUGGAGAAAAUGCAAAAGCUUUAAGCAUAAUACUAGGGGUUGGUCCUUUAUCUAUUCACCUUCUUCUACUUCAAACCUACUGAUUUCUCUGCAUGAAAGUCAUAAGCUGAUCUUAGCUCAUCUCUGAUUAAGGAUGGUCCUUUGGUCCUCUUGGAUAGUCCUCUUCAUAUUCCAUGUCCCCACAGUUAGUCCUUGGUAAUCAAGCCUUGGCUUAUACACAUGCCAAUCCACCCCCAAAAAGCAAACAAAUAUAACAACUACAUUGAGAAUGAGAUAAUGUUACUCUGUGAUCACAGUUAUUGUGUUACCUUACACUUUCAGUGGGUCAGUUAUCUCUCUGGAGUAGUUAAAAAUGUUCUGUUGGCCCAUUGACUCGGUGGUAUAUUUGCUCGCUUCUAGCAAGCCUAAUGGACUAAUAUCAGUGGACAUUUAUUCUUGGAAGAGAUACACUUGCCAAGAUUUUAGGUCUUUGGCGAAAAUCAGCUCUGUACAGGAGUUAGGGUUUGUUAGAGUUGUUGUUUGUUUGUUUGUUUAACAUGAGAAGAAAUAAACAUUAUUUUUAACUUUGAAGAGACUUUAACUUCAGACACUGCCUGUGCACAGCCCCAGAGAGGACAAGGGCCAUGAGAAAUGUGAUGACAUUUGGUUGCAUAAUUUUGAAUUGAAUGAGAUUUACAUAUGUUUUUAGUACAAACAAAGCAAGAAACAAGCAUUCUUGGAGGAUACUCUUUUAGCAAAUGUUCAAAAAUUUGGUGAGCACAGCUACAUUACAUCAAAAGUCAAAAAUCUUAAGAGGCAAGUAUGUAAGAUAAGAUGAUCAUUUCCAUCUAUACAGUUAUUCAUGUUCUCUUGUCUUUUAGGACCAUAUAGCUUAACUAUAAUCUCUCAACACUUGAACUUUGAGCUACUUUGAUCAUACUUACUUUCACAGGGCAUACUGAAGAGUGGUUAAUUCUGUGGUACGUGAAAUUUGCACAAUACUUCUUUUUUCUUAAUGGAACACAUUUUUAGUAUUUUGCAAGCAAUCCACAAGUUAUUACUUCACGUUUGGUUUUAAAAUACAGUUUGGAAAAUCAAAACAAGUUUUGACUACACAUUAAUCAUACAGAGAAAAAAAUUCAAUACAAAAUAAAUUAAAGUAGCUUCCCAGGGGAAAUGUUUAAUCAGUUUCAAGUGUUUUUAAGAAGAAUGAGAAAUGAUGAAAAGCCUUUUACAGAAAGUGUUAAAUCAGUUAAUAAAUUUUUUGACUGCAUCUGCAUAAAUAGUUAUAGAUAAUUUAAACCAGCUUUCAAAGUAGUACAGUAAGAUAGGCUUUGUCAUAGAGUAGAAUAUGGCAUGAACAGAAAGAAGGUUCUGUUUUUACUUCCUUUCUUUCCUUCUUUUCCUGUUGCACAUAAAUAUUUGUAUCUCACUUUGAUCUAUCAUCAAAUCAUGUAUGACAGAAGUCUUGACCUGUUGGUUACCAACAACUAUUUGAUAUUGGUUAUGGCCACAGGAAAAUCAAAAGUAAAAUCUAGUAAAUAAAUUAUAAUUGCCAAAAAAAGAAAGAGUGUGCCUUCAUUAUAUUUUUCUUGUUACUGUUAUCCCUGUUCUGCCUUCUAAUUGGAAUCACAGAGUCUCCUUGCUUAGAAGAGGUUCCCAAUUAUAACCAGCACACAGGCAUACUGGCCACUUCCGAAUGUGAUUUUUGUUGCAUUAACCUUAAGCUCAGGCCUAAACGCUGUCCUUCUUAGGAAAGAAUAAAAUUCCUGGAUCAGUUCUGUAUGUAGAAAUCUUCAUAUCUUCUGGACUCUAGAUCUUGCAGUUACAAUGCCUUCAGGCAUAACCUUGCCUUCAGCUAGAUGCCUGAGUUCAUUACAACUCAUAGGCUGUCCAUCAGUCCAUAUGUUACUGAAUACUAUGUCUCAGUUUAUAAAUUUCCUUGUACAGGGUCAGCCUUUGUUGUUACUGAAUUAUACUGUGUCAAGUACAGUGUGGCUUCAACCCCUUUGAGUUGUUUUAUUGGUCUAAGAACUUUAUCUCUGCUGUCAUGUAACAGUGGCUCCAAUCUAAUACUGUGGAUCAGACAAUCUAAAAGAGGAGAUGCAACACUCAUGGACAUUUCCGAAGCACAGAAUGCUAGAGUCACUUAAUGCUAGAGUUACUUCCUUGAGUUACUUCCUGUGUUCUGCACCAAAACUCACUUGAUAGAUGAUAAGGAAAAAAUACAAAUUCCAAAAUAAAUUAGUCCAAAUACCCAGGAAACUUGGUAUCCCUUUGUUCCUACAUCAUCUCUACCCACAAUUCUAUUCUGUUCUAUACCAGAUUACAAGUCAAAGCUCAUCAUUACCUUCUUUUUCUCAUGAACAGAGUAACAUAAUCUUCAGUCGAGACUUUUUUCCAUAUUCCUUCAUUUCCAUGACCUACUUAUGAAAGUAAUCCUCAAUUUCUUGGAGACUGCAAUUCUCACUAAAUUCUAAUUAAUGAAAGACUGCUGAAAGCCAGCCACAGAAAUCAUCUGUUAGAAGACUUUGUACAUGCUAGAUUUGUAAGGGUCCAUGUAUGCAUCUACAGCACCUUGUCUGUGACAGUGGUAGUGAAAAUGUCUUUCAUUUCUCUUCAUCAGUGCAUUUUAUUUAAAUGCUUAGUUUCUAUCAUUUAGUCCCAAUGUUGAAGUUUCUAAAUAAUUAUCAGAAAAAAAUAACUGUCAAAAACAAAACAUUGAAAUUAUAUCUAAAGGUUGGUACAGAUGCCAGCAAAUAUCUUCUAAAUGGAAUUUAGGAUAUGGUAUGCCCUCAGAUGUAAGAAAUUACAAGACCAACUUGACUAAUUGAACCAAAAAAAUUUCCAUCAAACAACUUUGUACCAGGUAUCUAAGCUAUCUCAGGGAGUCAUGAAAGUGAUGGGCAAGGCUUGAUCAGCAUCUGUUCUGGGGAACUUAGCCUCAGAACACAUCACCUUGGCCAUAUAUUUCAUCACCUUGUUGAUCAAAGAAAAGCAUUCACUUAUUUGACAUAUCUUUCCCACAAGAAGUGCAAUCUACAGAAAAGCAACACAAAUCCUUAACUAAAUAGCCACAAGCAAAAGAUAAAACAAAACCCUCAACAUUUUGUUUCACCUGAAAUCUCUUUUCUUUACUUCUUUAUUGUCUAUGUCUCCCUUUGACAAUAUACCCUUUUUGUCUCUUUGUCUCUCUCUCCUAUAUUAUGUUUAGGUUGAUUUUAUUCCAUCCAUUGGUCUCACCUGGAAUUUUUGUAGAGAUUUACAUGGGAUUUUCAUAGUCAAUUGCAUAGUAUGAUAGGGUUUAAUGGCCAGUGAACCAUUGUGCUGUAUCUCCCAAGUCUCUGAAGAGUUAAAAGCUCUGGCAUUGACUGUAGCACAAAGGGAAGGCUAGCCACAGAUUCCAGCAUUGCUUUUUAUUAUGUUGCAGCUGUACUGCACUCAAUUCUACUUGGAAAACUUCCUGAACGAGAAUCUAUUUCCCUCACUUCACUUUUGGAAUAUGUACUGUUUUGGUUUUUGGCUCAUCUUUGAAGCAAUGUUCUUUUUGUCAGUAUUGAAGGAAUGAAGGGUAUAUUUAAAGAAUAAACUGUUGGGAUGUGUUUGGUGAUUUUGAUUUAGGAUGUAGGAAUAAGGUUCUCAAGGGAUGGAAAACUUGAACUCUAAAAAUAAUGACCAUCUAAAUUUUGGUGGAGGUAUUAUUAUUGCAUUGACUCAUAUGGUCUCUACUUGGUUACAUUUCUACUUAGGAAUGGGGCAUUCAUUUACAAUGCAACAAUAUUUAUAGUAGUUACAAGCCAUAAGCACUUUCUUCCAGUGGUUAUUUAAAUAAUGUUAAUAAAAUUCAUAUAUAGCACAAUGUAUUAACUCUCAUGCCUAGAAAACACAUUAGCCAGAAUUUAACUUAAUACAGUUCUUAAAGAUAGAUACGAAGUCACUUGUGCAAUUUUUAGGUGGGUGUAAAUUCUGAAUAAAUUUUGUGUAUGUGUAGGUCACCUUUCUCUACAUUGAAGGUUUUCCAAAAGACAACUCUUGAUUGCUGUCUCCUCUGUGGAACCUUAACAGAGCUAAACCUGAAGAAAUACAAUGCAGUUUCUCCAUAGAAAAACUAUAGUGUACUUGUCCCACUGAAUCCCAACUGUAUUAGCUCCUCAGACUCAGGAAUUGCACUACAGUGGGGUUGGGAUUUGAAUGUAAAUAUUUUCUUUGUAAAAAUAGCAACCUGGAGAGAAAUCAGCAACCCAACUCAGUUAUAGGCUAACAUUACCAAUUUAUUCACUGCCUACAGGCAUUUAUACAUAUGUAAUGGUUUGCUUCACUGCAGUGUAAAGGUAAUCCAUAAAGCAGAACAGAAUUUUUCAAAGAAGUUGGCCAAGUUCUGCCAUUUAUUUGUAUUGUGGGCUACAAUUAUGAAGUUGGAAAGUAAAUUUUUCAACAUAAUCUGAAAAGAAAGUUGUCCCUAACGUAGGAAAAUCCAAGAAAACAAAGCUCAUUCUUCAUCAGGAUAAAGUAAGGAUCAAUCUUGACCAUAAGGGGGAAAGAUGUUCCAGAUUUCAUUAGAAAGUGUCAGCUUUCACAAUUAGGGAAUUUUUUUUGACUGAUACCAGCUGAGUUCUGUAGCAGACAGUGAGAAUCUCUGUGGUUGGAGAAAAGGAAUCAGACUUUUCAUGAUAUGUUAUAGGAUUUUCAUGUCUGUGCCUUAGAACUAGGAGUAGAUAUUGACCAGUGACAUUCACUCGUAUGUGUUUUAAAAGUAAACUUUCAGCUUUCACCUUGUACUGAGUCAAAUGACAACUCACAGCCAUUGUAACACCUGGACAAAUUAUGAUAAGCUCUCUACAGUGAGCUACACAAUGUCAAUCUCUUAACCGCAUGUAUUUAAAAUGAGGUAUUUUGGUUUGCAAGCACAGUUGCAAAGUUUCCAAAAUAAAUCCAUUUUCUUCCCUUUCUCUACUUAAGCCAUUAAUUUGUAUUCUCUUCACUUAAUUAUGUUGUUGCUUUUCCAGGAAAACAGAACAUUUAAU
ensembl:lncRNA